GUCUAACCUGCCCAAUGAAUAAUUUAAUGGCCGCAGUAAUUUAACUGUGCAAAGGNAGCAUAAUCAUUAGUUUUUUAAUUGAAGGCUAGUAUGAAUGGUUGAAUGAGAUAUUAACUGUUUCAAUAUUAUUUAUUAUAGAAUUUUAUUUUUUAGUUAAAAAGCUAAAAUUUUAUUAAAANNNNNNNNNNNNNNNNNNNNNUUUAUAUUUUUUAANUUAUUAUUUAAUUAGAUAAUAAUAAUGAUAAUUUAGUAAAAUAUUUUAUUGGGGUGAUAUUAAAAUUUAUAAAACUUUUAAUUGUAAUUUACAUAAAUUAAUGUAUUUAUGAUCCAUAAUAAUGAUUAAUAAAUCAAGUUACUUUAGGGAUAACAGCGUAAUUUUUUUGGAGAGUUCAUAUUAAUAAAAAAGAUUGCGACCUCGAUGUUGGAUUAAGAUAUAGAUUUAGGUGUAGAAGUUUAAAUUUU
rnacentral:rRNA from 1 species